UGGAAUAACCGGUUAAAAAUUAACAAAUGCUUUUGUGUGACGAGUGAGUUGGCUCCUUAACUGUAUGGAAGCAAUUAUUAGACGGACGGAUGUUUUGGGUGUUUUGGGGGCGCAAUAAUGUUCAGUUGGUUUCAUCUGACAUUGUCUAGUGAUUCGAUGGAAUUUUCCUUUUCUUUUGGAUCAUCAGCCUUGAUUUUUUUAUUACUGUACUUUGUACAUUUAAUAGCCAUUAAUUUUACAUGUAAAUUUAAGCUAUUAGUAAGAGAUUGAUGGAUUUAGAGUGCGCGUGUGCUGAUACGUAUAGGGUAGAACGAAGGUGGAUCCAUUCGGGUAUUAAAAUUGGCAGUAUAAGAUUCAUUUAGAAUUUUGAGUUGACCGGUUUUUCCGAGCGCAAUAAAAAGAAAACGAUCGUUGAUUACAUUUGGGCGGAUCAGUAGAUUAGGCAAAACCAACCUUGUGAAGUGCACAAUUAGUUAAUUAUUUCCUCGUUCUCCGAUACGCACGCAUACUUUAUUGACCAAGAUUUUAGACAAAUAAGACGGAUUGUGCUGCUGCUGACGUUGGAAACUUACUCAUUCGAGAUUCCAGAACAAGCACGUGAGUGGAAAUGGGCAUGGAAAAAACCGCUUUGUAUUUGUCUUGCGAUACCGAAUCUGUGUAGUGAUACUGAUAUAAACGCCGAUAAUGAUACUGUGAUCUAUUAUAGUAAAUGGCACCCGACUAAUUAGUUGCAUGAACGUAAGUUGAACUUAGAAUGGUCGUACUUUUCCAUACGUGCCGAAAGAAAAAUGGCUGAGGAUGUAAGUAAUUUAAACAAGAUUCUUCCAAAGGACCCACACGUAGGAGACUAUAUCGAAGUCAGCACAAGGAAUGGCUUUAUUACAUUACAACGAUUGUUCCUGUUUAUGUUGUUGGUUUACCUUAUAAUCGUUUACGUAAUAUGCAUCGCACAAGUAAUCAAAACGAGGUGGAGGAGAAGCCGCUUUUACACUCUAGUACACAGUCAAGAAAUUUGAGAUAGUUUGUUUUUGUGGAAACUGUGCAGUCUGAAGUAUUCCUUGACAUUUGAUAAAUAUUUUAGUCUUUAUGGAUGUUAUAAUUAAAUUUUUGUAUCAAU